rnacentral:rRNA from 1 species
GCGAACGCUGGCGGCAGGCUUAACACAUGCAAGUCGAGCGGGCAUAGCAAUAUGUCAGCGGCAGCCGGGUGAGUAACGCGUGGGAACGUACCUUUUGGUUCGGAACAACUGAGGGAAACUUCAGCUAAUACCGGAUAAGCCCUUACGGGGAAAGAUUUAUCGCCGAAAGAUCGGCCCGCGUCUGAUUAGCUAGUUGGUGAGGUAAUGGCUCACCAAGGCGACGAUCAGUAGCUGGUCUGAGAGGAUGAUCAGCCACAUUGGGACUGAGACACGGCCCAAACUCCUACGGGAGGCAGCAGUUGGGAAUAUUGGACAAUGGGCGCAAGCCUGAUCCAGCCAUGCCGCGUGAGUGAUGAAGGCCCUAGGGUUGUAAAGCUCUUUUGUGCGGGAAGAUAAUGACGGUACCGCAAGAAUAAGCCCCGGCUAACUUCGUG